rnacentral:snRNA from 1 species
AGAUGUGGGGGUCAUCUGGCUGUGAUAUCUGUCACCCCAUUGAUCAUCAAGGUCUAGUUAUGAAGAUUUAGCUAGCAAGGUGGGUGUCCUUUUCUUCACUCACAGCCCCAUGUGCAUCCCUUCUGAUGCUGCAUGGUAAGUAAAAGAGGAUAACCUUCCUGGGAAAGGAGGGAUUGUCUUCUGUUAAGGGUAUAUGAGUACAUGCUUUCCCUGCUAGAACCUCCAAACCAGGUCUGAAGGUACAUGUGCAGUAGAAUGUAGAUGAAUUAAACUUCCCUGACUAAAGACAUAUCGAACUGUGCGGUGAAGCAUGUGGCAGUUUGUAUUUCUU